UACAGAGGUGGCAAGCGUUGUUCGGAAUUACUGGGCGUAAAGGGCGCGUAGGCGGUCAGCACAAGUCAGUUGUGAAAUCUCCGGGCUUAACUCGGAAAGGUCAACUGAUUCUGUGCGACUAGAGUGCAGAAGGGGCAACUGGAAUUCUCGGUGUAGCGGUGAAAUGCGUAGAUAUCGAGAGGAACACCUGCGGCGAAGGCGGGUUGCUGGGCUGACACUGACGCUGAGGCGCGAAAGCCAGGGGAGCGAACGGG
rnacentral:rRNA from 1 species